rnacentral:rRNA from 1 species
CAGUCGCCACGGGAAUACGAAGGGGGCUAGCGUUGCUCGGAAUGACUGGGCGUAAAGGGCGCGUAGGCGGCGAUCAAAGUCAGGCGUGAAAUUCCUGGGCUCAACCUGGGGGCUGCGCUUGAUACUUGGUUGCUUGAGUGGGGAAGAGGGUCGUGGAAUUCCCAGUGUAGAGGUGAAAUUCGUAGAUAUUGGGAAGAACACCGGCGGCGAAGGCGGCGACCUGGUCCUUGACUGACGCUGAGGCGCGAAAGCGUGGGGAGCAAACAGGAUUAGAUACCCGCGUAGUCCCUGUCUCUUAUAC